GGAGAGGUGGCAGAGUGGUCGAUCGCGCCGCACUCGAAAUGCGGAGUACUGCAAGGUACCGGGGGUUCGAAUCCCUCCCUCUCCGCCA
rnacentral:tRNA from 1 species